UACGUAGGUGGCAAGCGUUGUCCGGAAUCAUUGGGCGUAAAGAGCGUGUAGGCGGCUCGGUAAGUCCGCUCUGAAAGCCCGGGGCUCAACCCCGGGAGGCGGGCGGAUACUGUCGGGCUAGAGUCCGGAAGAGGCGAGUGGAAUUCCUGGUGUAGCGGUGAAAUGCGCAGAUAUCAGGAGGAACACCAAUGGCGAAGGCAGCUCGCUGGGACGGUACUGACGCUGAGACGCGAAAGCGUGGGGAGCAAACAGG
rnacentral:rRNA from 1 species